CCGUUUAAACGGUCUACACUUUAGUCAUUUCCUUUUCCUUUGCUGAGAACUUUCAAAGUGCUGAGAGGACAGGGAAGCUGUAUUUAACACAAGGACUCAUUUCCUCAGCAACCACCAUCUACUGUGUGUCCAGAACCGUGCCCAGGCUGGGACGAACAAACAGGUGACCACAAGCCAACUGUUAACUUCCUGGCUCAGGGCGUAGUUGUGCUUGGCGACCCCUACUGCUGGAGGAAGAAGGCAUUAUGCAUCUGGACAGGAAGAUCUGACCUCAUGAACAGCAACCAGACAGGAAGAAAGGAACCAAUUGAAUGGGAGGAAUUGAGGAUACAAGAGAAUUCAUACCAUCCUUGGCAGGAAGAUCACAAGAAGCAGGUAAAGAACCAGAGCAUGGGUGAAGGUAAACUUUGGAGAAAGGAAGAUACCAAAAGGAAGGACAUACCGCAUGUGCUGAAGGAGACAAAGCAAAGGGAAAGCAACAUCCCAGAGGACAGAGUUGAGGAUAUGGGGGAAAAAAUCAAGCUGACCCCAAGGUCAAAGGUGGGAGUCUGAGUCCUGCCUCUGCCUCUUACUGGAUCAUUGACUUUGGUCUCUCUGAGCCAGCUGCUUUACAUUUCAGUGUCACAGAGUUUUUGUGAGACGGAUAUCAGAUAACAUGUGCAUAUGCCUAGUAUAAGCUGAGUUAUCAGAGCAUUUUUGAGAUUUACCCCUGAGCUUGCAAUGCAGAGGUCUGAAAUGGCUGUUCUAGAGAGUAAAUUCAAAAGCUUCGCAGAAGUGCUGGCUGGGCAGUAAGAAGGUUCUAGCUGGAGCUGGAAACUGUUUCUUCUUUCAGAAGGGAGACCCAGGGAGCCCUCUCGUUACUCUCCUGGGCACUGAAAGGUAGCACAGAAAAACCUUAGAGAAAGCUGCACCAGAGUGGAAAUUGUAAGAUGGGUUGGUGGUAGCAGCAGCAAGAAGGUGUUUUCAAGGGCAACUAUUCCCUGGCACCUCCAAGCCCAUCUGGCCCAACGUGGUGGACUUUUACAGGGUUAUAGUGAGGUCACCAGAUUCUCAGGCACUUCUCUUUUCCUUCUUCAAAGUUCAGAAUCACCAAAUUAGAGGACCAAACCCCAUUCCUGACCACAUGAAAAGAAAAAUGAGGCCUGCCUCUGACUGUUCACAGGGAAUGAAAGAUGCUAUGGAAUCAUAGAGCCAUAGAUUCUCAGGGUGGGAAGAGACUUUAAAAGCCAUUUAUUCUAGCCCCCUGGAUGGUGUAUGACCCUUUACAAUACUCUAGCUAAAUGCCAGUGUAAUCUCAAAAUCCUUCCGUGACAGGAAUCUUCUGAGGUAGCCCAAUUCAUCCAUGGCCAGCUCAGAUUAUUUCAGAUUUUCCUUAUAUUGACCUAAAGUCUACAUGUGCCUGUAGCCCACAUACUGGUCUGAGUUCCUCCCCCUUAUGAUCCACUUUGUUCAUUUCCGCUAGCAAGUCUGACUCCCAGAUUUGAGCAUAGUUCUCUGGCUAUGCUCUGAGCUGCGCAGGAUGGAACAGGACCAUCCCCCCUUCAUUUCAGGUACGAUAGCACAUUUAUGAAUUUUGAGGAACACAUCAUACUGUUGACUCACAUGGAACAAAAUGCUCACGACAACCCUUACCCUGUUGUGGGCAAUUGAUUUUGAGAUCAAGAACUUUGUAUUUAUUCCCAGAAAGUUUCAUCCCAUAAUAUUUGCCCAGGAUUAAAAAAAAAAAAGAUAUUAGCAUGGACAUAUCAAAUACACCUAUCAUUUAUUCACUCUUUCAUUCGGUCAUUCAAUAAGCUAUUCCUCCUGGUUUUACGUCUUUAGUAAGCAUAUCCAGCCUGCACUCUCUGGUUAUUCAGUUGUAUUUUUCCUCAGACUAUUGAAAAACAUGAUCAAAUGGGCAGAGGCCUACCAUACAACACAAAACACUUCCCUGAAAAAUGGCUGCCUACUGAAUUAGUUACUUUAUUAAUUCAGCAAAUUGAUUCCGCAAUAAAUAUGUAUUGAGACCCUACUAUGUGCCAAGUCAUGAUCUACGUGCUAGAGAAACGCCCAGCAGUGAACAAGCCAGACAAGGUUCCUGCUGAUUACAGAGCAGGAGACAUAGGAUAAGAAAAACAAAAACAAAAACUAAUAAUAACUGACAUUUAUUGAGCAUUUCUUAUAUGCCAGGCAUUGUUCUAAACACCAUACAUGUUUGCUCUUCACAAAUUCUUGUGAGGUAAAUACCAUUAUUCCCAUUUUCUAGAUUAAGUGUACUGAGACUCAAAGGAGUUAAAUCCCUUGCUCAAGAUCACACAGAUCCUAAAAGAUGGGACUAUCAACCUAGGCAGUAUGGCUAUAGAGCCUGUGUGCUAACCAUCGGGCUCCUGUUGUCUCUCUACAAAGGUAAAUGCUAAAUUAAACAUACACAUAAACAUUUAAGCUGAAGUCUGAAUGAUAAGCCAGAGCCAAUGUCUCAAGAUCUGAGGGGACAGCAAGAGGUAGGGGAUGAUGUUGGAGGGGUGGGCAGGGGUCCUGUGACGUGGGGCCUUGUGGAUUAGGUAAUACUAAGGAUUUGGGCCGUAGGAAUUCAACCGGUUAUGAACACACCUAAUUGUUUCAGUAUCCAACCUCCACAUACCCAUCUUGUUCACAAAUAUACUGUGAAUGAUCCUUUCCCUUCCGCCUGAUACAGGACUCCCUCUUCACACUCUGACCAGUUCCCUCCCAGCUGUCACCAUCACUGUGGCACAGCAAGACACACUCCGGAUGCACAAUCAGGACUCAGAAUCUAGCUCCUCCGUGCUAUGUGACCCCAGCCAAGUCACGGCCAAGAGUCACUGCUCUUUCAGUUUCUGGAGAUUCUUCCCAUUGCUCUGUAGUGUUACCUCACUCCCGGAACAGAACCACUAAGGUAUUGAGCAUCUGGGGACACUUGGACUUAGGGAGCAAUCACUCCACCUUUCCCCUUCCUGAGCGCGUCCAUCCUCGUCCCCACGAGGCCCAGGUAAGCUGUAGCUAACUUUAUGCAUCUGGCUUCAGUUACUAACAGCUCCAGGGACUGCUCACUCAUCUCCCAGAAGCCCUGCUGGUUUGACCCCAUCAAGUUCUACUUACCCGAGUGUCAUACAACCCUCCCCUUAAUUACACACUCAAUCAGUUCCUUCCGAGCUCAGCAAUUUGUGGUCUCUGGGCGUCCCCCGGCUGCUUUUCUGGAGGUAGUUCCCAAGCCGGGCCUUGGCAAGCCUCUGAAGGCCACAGUGCCCAGAGUUGAAAGCUUCGCUGCUAUUUCACACUCUAUUUCCUUCCAAAUUAAUUCUCUGAUGAAUACUGUCCUUUGCGGUGAUUCAGUGCAGGCCAUUUCCUUGCAUCUCUCCUUUACCUUUGAGACUUUUACUCUUUCUUGAAUCCAGAUUUUCCUCUAUGGAAAGUCUGCCUCAGAGAAGAAUGCCCUGCUUUCCCAACUGGUAUAAACAGCCUCACCACCACUGGCCCCAGCCUCACGGCAUUCGUCCUUUCCUGGCUUACCUAGGUCAUCCCUUUGACUUCAAAGCACAUGCCUGCCUUCUCUAAAAAUCUCGGUACCACGAGGAGUGACUCAAACUUCUGGGCGUACGGCAAGCUGUGAGUUCUAGUUCCUUUAAGGCCCAAACACAUGAAGAUGCAGAUUCAAAGUUUGUACUUGAGCGGCUACCAUGUUCCAGACCUUUCAUAAUGUUAUUUUGCUGUAACUCUCUACCAGUUGCCCCACCCCAACCCCCCCUCACAGAGAGCAUCAUCGUCCUCAUUAUACAGAUGAAGAGAGGCUCUGCAAUAUUAAGCAAGUUGUCCAAGGUCACAGGACCCAGGAAAGUGGUAAGGCUGGAAUCCAAAUCCCUGCCUCUUUACUUCAAGGUAGAUGCUUCUUUCAACCAUCCCACAAGUGGCUUGAGCUCCCCUAAAAUAGUCACCAGGAUCUCAUCAUCAAUGGCACACUAUCCAGGACUGGGUGCCCAUGUGUCAGGAACCCCCAGAAGAACGCUCAGAACGCUGCCGGAGGAACACUCAGAAGAGGCUUUUUGAGCAAUAGCGUGAGCAAUGCCUUACAUUCGUAUAGCACUUCUCUCUUCAUAUUAUUAAGUGCAUGACAUACCCAAUCUAUGAGAACCCAGGGAUAAUUCUGUAAGGAGACACUAUAUUAGAGCCUCAUUUCACAAAUGAGGUUAUACAGGCUUGUUAACGAGAAGUUAGCCGACUUACCCAAAGUCACAGAGAUAGUACAUAUGGAGGUAGGACUUGAACUUACAGCCUGUGACUCCAAGACAAGUGCUCUCUCAAGUUCUGAUAUUAGUUCAGAUCUUUGCUUCCAAAAUGGAGAUUUGGGUAUUCCCCCUCACCCCAACUCCAACCUUACUUUUUUUUUUUUUGGAAGAUUUUAUUUCGAGAGAGAGCAUGAGCAAGGGGAGGGGCAAGCAGACUCCCCACUGAGCGGGGAGCCCAAUGUGGGACUUGAUGCAGGACUUGAUCCCAGGACUCUGGGAUCGUGACCUGAGCUGAAGGCAGAUGCCCAACCAGCUGAGCCAUCCAGGUGCCCAGGAAGCUCGUAUUUCAAAAGCCAGGUAGAGAAAAAGGAGUCCUGGGAAGACCAGCUGUUUAUUGAGGAUAGUGCUUUUCAGCUCUCUCUCCCCCCACCCGGAGUCAGGGACCAGGUUCUAGAAGCUGGCAGGAUAGACCAGGAGGGUCAGGACUACGACGAGGGCAGGGUCUGAACAGAGCACACAGCCCUCUUCCUAGAGAACUCCCCAGCCAGAUAAAGGGACCGCCACUUUCUCUAGCAGCCCCAAGGUACACAGGGAACCACAGCUUUAGCCCCAACGUUGAAGAAUAUUACUUCCUGGCAUAUAGUAAACAAAACAGUUGCUCUUAACUCCUCCCAGCCUCCUUUGCAGAGAGACGGGCAGUGCUGUGGAGGGUUACAGCUGAGGAGAAGGGAAUGUCGGGUACCACUUGCAAAGACCUGAGCUGCUUACAAUAAAUACAAACAGGUCAGCAUGCCAGGUCCCAGUGCUCUGAGGACCAGGGGUGGGGCGGCACGGGGACUCUCUCUUCCUUCUUCUCUGUAGGUGGGCCCUUCUGAGUUUUGAACACCUGGCUGUCGUUUGAACCAUCUACAUGAAACUAUUAAAGGAGACUUGGCACAUAAGAGUGACUGGCCUUAUCUAAAGACAGUUAUUCCAUCCCAGUGCCUGCCAGAGCCGAGAGCUCUGUGAGUAAGAUAAGCCAUGCAGCCCUCAGUAGGAUUUGUCAGGUAGAUUCCCGCUGAAGUCCAUCUACCCAAGCAAGCCCGGGUAUGUGGGAGAAGAGUGACUAUUCUACUCUAUCUUGGGAGGCCCUAAAUUUGGCCAUCCAAGGAGAGACCCACUCUGCAAAUCCUUUUAACCUUAACAGCACAGCACUCAUUUUAAGAACAUUAAGAGAAAGGAGUCAAGACCAAGAGCAGGUUAGGAGUUUUAUGAAGUGCUUUUCACAUCCACCCUCAGGACACAUUGUCAGGUAGGCAAAUAUUAACAUCCCUGUUUAAUAGUUGGGAAAACAUAAGCUCAGAAAAGUUAAGUGACUUGACCACAGCCACAUAGCUGGUGAGCGAGGGCGCCAAGGUUCUGCUGUACACGCAGGCACACUCCCCGUGGUGAGGGGUAAGAGAGGACACACUGUCUGCAGAGGAAAGCUGGAAAGUGCACUCCCAAAGUUCCCCACCAGGUUAGGAAACCUGUCACAGCUCAGAGUCUACAGGGCAGAAAUAGCAAAAGGGCAAAAAAGACUCUUUGAAGUCCCUUGCAUUUACUCAAUUAAUUCUCACAACAACCCUAAUUAGUAGGUACAAUCAUCUCCAUUUUACACGAGAGGAAAAACAGGCUCAGAAAACUGCGUCAGGGGUCACAAAGAAGCACAUAGUAGCGUCAGAACUGGAACCCAGAAGCAGCCUGCCUGUCUUCCUUUACCCCAUGCUUCCCCCUGGUGGUGAAUAGGGAAGAGUGCACAGAAGCCACCUUGUGCCCGGCAAAGGGGAGUUCAGAAUCCAUUCAAUAAAUCUUUUCUGAAGCCCACUUUGUACCAAGUCUUGUACGUGGCUCUAGGAACACAGUAAUAAACGAGAUAGAUGGCACUCCAUUGAGAGACAAGCAGAAACAUGAGAGGCGUCUAGACGAGCAGGGGUCAGAUGGGCAAAGUAAGUGUGUCAGGGUCAGGGGAUGGAACAAUGUGUACCAAAGUCCAGAGCCCAGGGGAGCGGGACUUCCUUUUCCUAAAACAGUUCAGUCUGGCCAGGGCGUGAGGGAUGAAGUUGGAGAAGUAAGGAGGGGCCAGGUCUAAAAGGGAAACAAAAGGCAAGAAAGGAUAUGACUCAUUAGGAAGCCACUAAGUAACCCAGGAAGUUGAUCAUGGGCCCCAGGAUAGUAGUGACAGAGGCGAUGUAUUCAUAUAUUCAACAAAUGUUCUAGUGCUAGCAUGUGCUCGGCACUAUUGAUGCUGCGGGCAUAUCUUCACAAGGGGAAGCUCUUAUGGAGCUUGCAUUCUAGUCAGAAAAAUUAAUACAUAGAUGUGUAAUAGCAAGCACUGAUAAAGACCAUCAGAGAACAAAAAAACAGGGCAAGGUGUAUUGGUUGAUUAGGACUGCCAUAACAAAAUACAACAGAUCAGUAUUCUGUGGCUUGAACCACAGAAAUGUAUUUCCUCACAGUUCCGGAGGCUAGAAGUCUGAGAUCAUGGUGUCGACAGGGUUGAUUUCUUCUGAGGCCUCUCUCCUUUGCUUAUGGAGAGCCGCCUUCUCCCUGUGUCUUCACAUGGUCUACCCCCUGUGUCAGUAUCCUAAUUUCUCCUCUAAUGAUGAUUCGCAUAAGUCAUUGGAUUGGGGCCCAUGCAUAUGACUUUUCUUUACCUUAAUUACCUCUUUAAAAAUCCUAUCUCCACACAUAGUCACAUUGAGGUACUGGGAGUUAGGACUUCAACAUAUGAAUUUUGAGGGGACAUAAUUCAGCCUACAGCACAAGGUGAUAGAGUAUAACUAAGGCUGGAGGUAGAGGGAAGACAAAGGUCUGAAAUUUUUAUGUAGGAUAAUAUGGGAGGGCCUCUCUGAGAUGGCACUGAGAUAUGCACUCUGAGAUAUGAAUGAAGAGUGGAAGCUAACCAUGCAAAUAUUUAGGAGAACAUUCCAAAGAGAGGGAACAGCUUGUGCAAAGGUCCUGAGCUGAGGUAAGGACAUGACACAGGGCUAUGUGGCAUACAAGAACAGCAAGAUGGCUAGUACAGCUGGAGGACAGUGAGAAGAGAUAGGAGAGGAUGCCGUAAGGCCUUGAUGACUGGCUUUUUCUUUGAGAUGGGAAGCCAGGGGUGAAUUCCGAGCAGAAGAGUGACAUGAUCUGACUGUAUUUUAAAAGCACCUAUGCUAAGAAGAGUAGGGGGAAAAGAGAAGGGCAAUAACAGGGAGGCUUUGAACAGGAGAGAGAGGAUGCUGACACUAAAUAACAAUGGAAGUCUCGAGAAGCAGUCAGUUCUGGGUAUAGUUUGAAGAGAGACACAUUAGCAUUUACUGACGCAUUAGAUGCAGGACAUGAGAAACAGGGAGGAGGCAAGGGUAAUUCCCAAGUUCUUAGCCCAAGCAACUGCAUGAAGGGCAGUCCCAUUUACCUACAUGGGGUAGCCUGUGGAGAAAGUAGGUUUGAAGAGGCAAGAGAAUUAAGAGUUUAUCAUGGACAAUGGGAAGUUUAAUAUAAAUUAAAUUAUUCUAAACAUCCAUUUAGAGCUAUUGAGUAGACAGUUGAAAUGAAGCUAGAAUUCAAGAGAAAAGUCCAGAUUGAAGGUAAAAAUUUAGGAGCCAUUGUGUAAAAAUAUUUUAAACUAUGGAACUACUUGAAGGAAAGAACAUCCAAUGGAAAAAAGACAGUCUCGUUAACAAAUGGUGUUGGGAAAACUGGACAGCAACAUGCAGCAAAAUAAAA